CUCUUCUCCUGUCCAUGACUGAAGAAGAGAAUAGCUACUGAGUACAUGAACUCCGGGGCCUCUCUGUGCUUGUUUCUGGAUAUGUAUCUGAAGAUGAUCAGUGUUUUAUGACCACUUAGAAUCAUCGAAUGACAACUAAAGUUUUAU
rnacentral:lncRNA from 1 species